rnacentral:rRNA from 1 species
UACAGAGGUCCCAAGCGUUGUUCGGAUUCACUGGGCGUAAAGGGUGCGUAGGUGGUCGGGUAAGUCUGAUGUGAAAUCCCGCAGCUCAACUGCGGAAUGGCAUUGGAUAGUAUUUGGCUAGAGGGUUGGAGGGGGGACUGGAAUUCUCGGUGUAGCAGUGAAAUGCGUAGAUAUCGAGAGGAACACCAGUGGCGAAGGCGAGUCCCUGGACAACUCCUGACGCUGAGGCACGAAAGCUAGGGGAGCAAACAGG